UUUUUUAAAGCUUAUUGAUGAAGAUGACCCGAUAUUUUUGGUGAAGAGCUUCUUUCAGACUCCUUCCCCUACAAGGAACUAUUGAAUGGGUUCCUAUGAGAAGUUGAAGAAAAGUUAUGGAUAAUGAAAACAACGCUCCUUCGUUAUUAAAGUCGAU